CAGUAGCCGCGGUAAUACAGAGGGUGCGAGCGUUAAUCGGAUUUACUGGGCGUAAAGCGUGCGUAGGCGGCUUCUUAAGUCGGAUGUGAAAUCCCUGAGCUUAACUUAGGAAUUGCAUUCGAUACUGGGAAGCUAGAGUAUGGGAGAGGAUGGUAGAAUUCCAGGUGUAGCGGUGAAAUGCGUAGAGAUCUGGAUGAAUACCGAUGGCGAAGGCAGCCAUCUGGCCUAAUACUGACGCUGAGGUACGAAAGCAUGGGGAGCAAACAGGAUUAGAUACCCCGGUAGUCCCUGUCUCUUAUAC
rnacentral:rRNA from 1 species